GUGGGUAUAGCUCAGCUGGUUAGAGCGUCGGUUUGUGGCACCGAAGGUCGAAGGUUCGAACCCUUUUACCCACCCCA
rnacentral:tRNA from 1 species